rnacentral:misc_RNA from 1 species
GGGUCAGUCAGCUGGUGCACAUAUUGCUGCUUGUGCUCUGGUGGAGCAGGCAAUCAAGGAGAACAGUGAAGGAGAAAGCAUUACUUGGAGUGUUUCCCAGAUUAAGGCUUAUUUUGGUCUAUCUGGAGGGUACAAUUUGUUGAACCUGGUAGAUUACUUCCACAGCCGUGGUUUGUACCGUUCCAUCUUUCUAAGCAUAAUGGAAGGAGAAGACUCUUUACGAAGAUUUUCUCCUGAAGUAAUUGUACAGGACCCCACCUUAAAGAAUGCAGUUUCUCUCCUACCUCCUAUUAUUCUUUUUCAUGGUACUGAUGAUUAUUCCAUUCCAUUUGAUGCCAGCAAAAAUUUUGCUGAAACUCUUCAAAGAGUUGGAGUUAGAGCUGAAUCAAUUUUAUAUGAAGGGAAGACUCAUACGGAUGUGUUCCUUCAGGAUCCAAUGAGAGGUGGCAAAGAUCAGAUGUUUGAAGAUUUAGUUGCAAUCGUUCAUGCUGGAGAUCCAGAAGCCCAGGAAAAAGAUGCAGGGGCUCCUCCAAGAAGACGUCUUGUUCCUGAAUUCAUGCUACAGGUGGCGCGCAGAGUCAGCCCUUUCUAACUGUUCCCAAACACUUUUAACUUCCCAACUACUAACCAUAAAACCCCAACUGAUGUAAAUAUCACUAAUGGGAGUUGAUCAUUUUUCAUCAUCUGUUUCGUGUGGCCUUUACACUGGUCUUCCUCUUGUUGUUGUUCUUCUUAUUUUAAUAUUUUUCCCAUAUAGAUGGAGGGUUCCUUUCUUUAUGUUGGAGACUAUUCAGGCUCAAAGCAACAUUC